rnacentral:rRNA from 1 species
UACGUAGGGGGCAAGCGUUGUCCGGAAUCAUUGGGCGUAAAGCGCGUGUAGGCGGCCAGGUAAGUCCGUUCUGAAAGCCCGGGGCUCAACCCCGGGAGGCGGAUGGAUACUGCUUGGCUCGAGUCCGGAAGAGGCGAGUGGAAUUCCUGGUGUAGCGGUGGAAUGCGCAGAUAUCAGGAGGAACACCAACGGCGAAGGCAGCUUGCUGGGACGGUACUGACGCUAAGGCGCGAAAGCGUGGGGAGCGAACAGG